UACGAAGGGUGCAAGCGUUACUCGGAAUUACUGGGCGUAAAGCGUGCGUGGGUGGUUCGUUAAGUCUGAUGUGAAAGCCCUGGGCUCAACCUGGGAAUGGCAUUGGAAACUGGCGACCUAGAGUGCGGUAGAGGGUAGUGGAAUUCCCGGUGUAGCAGUGAAAUGCGUAGAGAUCGGGAGGAACAUCCGUGGCGAAGGCGACUACCUGGACCAGCACUGACACUGAGGCACGAAAGCGUGGGGAGCAAACAGG
rnacentral:rRNA from 1 species